GGCCCAAUAGUCUAGUGGUUAAGACAUUAUGCUUUCACCAUUAAAACGAGGAUUCGACUUCCUCUUGGGCUA
rnacentral:tRNA from 1 species